UACAGAGGUCUCAAGCGUUGUUCGGAUUCAUUGGGCGUAAAGGGUGCGUAGGCGGCGCGGUAAGUCGGGUGUGAAAUCUCGGAGCUUAACUCCGAAACUGCAUUCGAUACUGCCGUGCUUGAGGACUGGAGAGGAGACUGGAAUUUACGGUGUAGCGGUGAAAUGCGUAGAUAUCGUAAGGAAGACCAGUGGCGAAGGCGGGUCUCUGGACAGUUCCUGACGCUGAGGCACGAAGGUCAGGGGGAGCAAACGGGGAU
rnacentral:rRNA from 1 species